GGGCAUGCAUCACGAGGCCCCUAGAUUUCCUAUCAAGCUUCCGGAGGUACAACGAUAUCAAAUUAUUUCUGAAAACCCACUAGUUCUAUACUCCAAUGCAUGUUUCUACCAUCUUUUCUGAAGGUUUCCAUUCUGUUACUUACAUGCUUCCCUCUAACUUGAAGAAACAUAAACAUGACAAAUAAAUUCUAUACACAAAACCCAUGCUUCCACCAUAAUAAUAAAAUGUCUUCAUGUUAUAAUACACAUGCUUCCAGAGAUAAAUGUCUUCAUGCUGUCAUAUACUUGCUUCCAUAGUAAAUUCUAUUCCUCAAAACCCAUGCUUCCUCUACAAUAAAAUAAUGUCUUCAUGAUGUAAUAUGCAUGCUUCCAGAGUAACAACCACCAGAGUAAAUGUCUACCUGUUGUAAUAUACUUGCUCCUAGAGUCAAUUCCAUACAUCAAACCCAUGCUUCCACCAUAGUAAAAAUUGUUUUCAUGCUUUCAUAUAAAUGCUUCCAGAGUAAUAUCUUCCAGAGUAAACUUACUCAUGUUGUACUACACAUUCUUCCAAAUUAAUUUAUGUACAUCAAACCCAUGCUUCCACCUUAAUACAAAUGUCUUCCUGAUGUACUAUAAAAGCUUCCAGAAUUAUUUAACACGCACAAUCAUUUCCUCAAAUCAUUCACCAUUUCACAUGCUACAUGCUUUCGUGCAGGAACUACCGGCCUACAUACUACAAAUUAUUGAAACACACAAAUCAAAAUGGGCACAGGAUAUAUCAAAAGCUACAUCGAGACUUUCUAAACUUCACGCCAAGCGCAUGGAAGAGUUUGCACAAGAUGUUUUAGCGGCCACAAAAGAUAAUGCUCCAGAUCCAACAAAUUAUUCUUCACCUCAUUGGGUACUCCAGGACACACAUACCGAACAACCACAGCCACAUGGUCCAAAAGAAACUCCCGACACCAGGUUUUGGAAGGAAGCAACUGCAUAUGCCGAUGAGGUGGAG
rnacentral:lncRNA from 1 species